GUAAAUAUCUAAAGUUGAACUUGGCCAAUGGCAAGUCACAGCUUUUUGUGUUUACAG
rnacentral:pre_miRNA from 1 species